rnacentral:tRNA from 1 species
GGGUGAUUAGCUCAGCUGGGAGAGCACCUCCCCAAGGAGGUCGGCGGUUCGAUCCCGUCAUCACCCACCA